rnacentral:rRNA from 1 species
GAAGGGACCUAGCGUAGUUCGGAAUUACUGGGCUUAAAGAGUUCGUAGGUGGUUAAAAAAGUUGGUGGUGAAAUCCCAGAGCUUAACUCUGGAACUGCCAUCAAAACUUUUUAGCUAGAGUAUGAUAGAGGAAAGUAGAAUUUCUAGUGUAGAGGUGAAAUUCGUAGAUAUUAGAAAGAAUACCAAUUGCGAAGGCAGCUUUCUGGAUCAUUACUGACACUGAGGAACGAAAGCAUGGGUAGCGAAGAGGAUUAGAUACCCUCGUAGUCCAUGCCGUAAACGAUGUGUGUUAGACGUUGGAAAUUUAUUUUCAGUGUCGCAGCGAAAGCAAUAAACACACCGCCUGGGGAGUACGACCGCAAGGUUAAAACUCAAAUGAAUUGACGGGGACCCGCACAAGUAGUGGAGCAUGUGGUUUAAUUCGAAGAUACGCGCAGAACCUUACCAACACUUGACAUGUUCGUCGCGACUCUAAGAGAUUAGAGUUUCGGUUCGGCCGGACGAAACACAGGUGCUGCAUGGCUGUCGUCAGCUCGUGUCGUGAGAUGUUGGGUUAAGUCCCGCAACGAGCGCAACCCUUACUUUUAGUUGCCAUCAUUUAGUUGGGCACUCUAAAAGAACUGCCAGUGAUAAGCUGGAGGAAGGUGGGGAUGACGUCAAGUCCUCAUGGCCCUUACGUGUUGGGCUACACACGUGCUACAAUGGCAUUUACAAUAGGAAGCAAGGCGGCGACGUCAAGCAAAUCCUAAAAAAAUGCCUCAGUUCGGAUUGCACUCUGCAACUCGAGUGCAUGAAGCUGGAAUUACUAGUAAUCGCGGAUCAGCGUGCCGCGGUGAAUGCGUUCCCGGGUCUU